GUGAACGCUGGCGGUAGGCCUAACACAUGCAAGUCGAACGGCAGCACAGUAAGAGCUUGCUCUUACGGGUGGCGAGUGGCGGACGGGUGAGGAAUACAUCGGAUCCUCCUUUUCGUUGGGGGUAAAGGAGGGGAAACUUAGCCUAUACCCCAUAACAACCUACGGGUAAAAGCGGGGAUCUUUCGAACCUGCCCGGUUUAAAGAGGCGAUGUCGGAUUAGCUAGUUUGCGGGGUAAAGGCCCACCAAGGCGACGAUCCGUAGCUGGUCUGAGAGGAUGAUCAGCCACACUGGAACUGAGACACGGUCCAGACUCCUACGGGAGGCAGCAGUGGGGAAUAUUGGACAAUGGGCGCAAGCCUGAUCCAGCCAUACCGCGUGGGUGAAGAAGGCCUUCGGGUUGUAAAGCCCUUUUGUUGGGAAAGAAAAGCAGCAGGUUAAUACCCCGCUGUUCUGACGGUACCCAAAGAAUAAGCACCGGCUAACUUCGUG
rnacentral:rRNA from 1 species